GUUAAGGUGAAACCACUGGGGCAGUCUAGGGGAAAAGAGGAAAGUUUGUUCCAGAAAGAACUGUCUAA
ensembl:snoRNA SNORD22 Small nucleolar RNA SNORD22